rnacentral:rRNA from 1 species
GGUCAAGCUACUAAGGGCGUACGGUGAAUGCCUUGGCGCUAGGAGUCGAUGAAGGACGUGGUCAGCUGCGAAAAGCUUUGGUGAGCCGCAAACAGGCUGUGACCCGAAGAUGUCCGAAUGGGGCAACCCACGCAGGCUCAUACCUGCGUAUCGCUCUCUGAAUUCAUAGGGGAGCGAAGACAACCCGGGGAAGUGAACCAUCUCAGUACCCGGAGGAACAGAAAACAAAACAGUGAUUCCGCUAGUAGCGGCGAGCGAACGCGGAUUAGCCCAAACCUCUCUGCUUGCAGGGAGGGGUUGUAGGGCCGGUCUGGCUGCAAAGGCCAGCGAGUGAGCAAUCGUGCAUUUAGUCGAACGAUCUGGAACGAUCGGCCACAGAGGGUGACAGCCCCGUAGGCGACAAGUGUGCGACUCGCGACCGGUACCUGAGUACCGCGGGACACGAGAAAUCCCGUGGGAAUCGACGAGGACCAUCUCGUAAGGCUAAAUACUCCCUGGCGACCGAUAGUGAACCAGUACCGUGAGGGAAAGGUGAAAAGAACCCCUGCGAGGGGAGUGAAAGAGUACCUGAAACCGUAUGCCUACAAGCAGUGGGAGGGCUAUGCUGGGAGACUUGUCUUCUGGAAUGCCUGACCGCGUGCCUUUUGCAUAAUGAGCCGGCUAGUUAAUCUCAGUGGCAAGGUUAAGCGUAAGCGAGCCGAAGCGAAAGCGAGUCCGAAAGGGGCGACGAGUCGCUGGGAUUAGACGCGAAGCGAGGUGAUCUACCCUUGGCCAGGGUGAAGUACGGGUAACACCGUAUGGAGGCCCGAACCAGUGUUGGUUGAAAACAGCUUGGAUGAGCUGAGGGUAGGGGUGAAAGGCUAAUCAAACCUCGUGAUUGCCCGUUCUCCUCGAAAUAUCUUUAGGGAUAGCCUCGAGAGGUCGGCGCUGGUGGUAGAGAACUGAAUGGACUAGGGGGCUUACCAGCUUACUGAAUCCAAUCAAACUGCGAAUGCCAGCGACACGUAUCUCGGGAGUCAGACAGUGGGGGCUAAGCUUCAUUGUCGAGAGGGAAACAGCCCAGACUACCGGCUAAGGUCCCUAACUCUGUGCUAAGUGGGAAAGGAUCUGGAGACGCUCAGACAACCAGGAGGUUGGCUUAGAAGCAGCCAUCCUUUAAAGAAAGCGUAAUAGCUCACUGGUCAAGCGGCUCUGGGCCGACAAUAUACCGGGGCUCAAGCACAGGACCGAAGCCGUAGACUGCACGGCCCUGCGGGGCGGUGUUUUGGUAGAGGAGCGUUCUCAUCGCAGCGAAGUCAGACCGUGAGGACUGGUGGAGCGGUGAGAAGUGACCCUGCCGGCAUAAGUAGCGAUAAGGGAAGUGAGAAUCUUCCCCGCCGUAAACCUAAGGUUUCCUGAGGAAGGUUCGUCCGCUCAGGGUCAGUCGGGUCCUAACGCGAGGCCGAAAGGCGUAGCGGAUGGACAUCCGGUCAAUAUUCCGGAACUACCUCUUCCACGUUAUUACUGAUGGGGGGACGCAGGAGGCUAGGCGAGCCCACGAUUGGACGUGUGGGUUCAGGUCUGUAGGGGGAUCUUCCAGGUAAAUCCGGAGGGUCACAUACCCUGAGGGACCAUGGCGAGGGUGGAUUCACCCGCAAAGUCGCUGACGCCACGCUGCCGAGAAAAGCCUCUAAGGAGUGGGAAGGGUACCCGUACCGUAAACCGACACAGGUAGGUGAGGAGAAAAUCCUCAGGCGCGAGUGAGAACCCUCGUUUAGGAACUCGGCAAACUGGCCCCGUAACUUCGGAAUAAGGGGUGCUCGACUACCGUGCACGAUCCACGCGGUCGUGUGCGCGAACGAGUUGCAAUAAAGAGGCCCAGGCGACUGUUUACUAAAAACACAGGACUCUGCGAAGUCGAACACGACGUAUAGGGUCUGACGCCUGCCCGGUGCCGGAAGGUUAAAGGGAGAGGUUAGCCGCAAGGCGACGCUUUGAGCUGAAGCCCCGGUAAACGGCGGCCGUAACUAUAACGGUCCUAAGGUAGCGAAAUUCCUUGUCGGGUAAGUUCCGACCUGCACGAAUGGCGUAACGAUCUGGGCGCUGUCUCAACGAGGGGCACUGCGAAUUUGUGGUACCGGUGAAGACGCCGGUUGCCCGUGACUAGACGAAAAGACCCCGUGCACCUUUACUACAUCUUAGUAGUGAAUGCUGGCGUGUCAUGCGCAGGAUAGGUGGGAGGCUAUGAACCCGGGUUCUCGGACUCGGGGGAGCCAACGGUGAGAUACCACCCUUGACACUCCGGCGUUCUAACCUCGACCUGUCAUCCAGGUCAGGGACACUGCUAGGUGGGUAGUUUGACUGGGGCGGUCGCCUCCUAAACUGUAACGGAG